rnacentral:tRNA from 1 species
GCCGGAGUGGUGGAAUUGGUAGACGCAGAGGACUCAAAAUCCUCCGGGCUUCGGCCCUUGUCGGUUCAAGUCCGACCUCCGGUACCA